rnacentral:tRNA from 1 species
GGAAUUUAGCUCAGUGGUAGAGCGCUUGCCUAGCAAGCACAAGGCCCUGGGUUCGAUCCCCAGCUCCG